GCCCCCCGCGGCCCCGCCAGCGCCACCGCCCUGCGCGCCACGCGCAGCCCGGCAGCCAGCACUAGGGUCGCCGCCAUCUUGCCCUCAGCCGCCGAACCUCUCCGGGGGCCAGUACGGCGGUCCCGUCGCCGCCAGAGGCGGGGCUGCCACGGAGCCGGCGAGCGGCGGCCAUUGGCUCCGCUGGCGGCCCGAGCCGGGUCCUCCCACCCCAUUGGCCGCACUCCUGGGCCCCUCCCUUGCCGCCCUGCAACCCAGAGGGUGGUAUCAUUCACUCCACUGGCUCCGCCGCCACCGUGGAGGCGGAAUCUUUUCAUCCCAUAGGCUGCUUCUGCCAGCUCGUGGGAGGAGGGCGGCUGCUGAGGGCACUGGCGCUGGCUGCCUCCGGGAACCACCGCAACCCCUGGAGGCCAGUCUUAGAAGUCCCGGAAGACGGGGGCGGGAAUGCCUGGCUUGUGAGGCUGAAGAGGCUGUAUGCAGUAUGCCUUCAAGAGAGCAGCAACCCCUAGAGAAGUUGAAGAGAUAAGAACUGGGAUCUAGGAAGAGGAAGGAAACCAGCCAGGAAGGAUCCAGGAACUGAGGCCCAGAGAGGGAAAGUGAUAUGCCUACGAUCACAGAGCACAUAUAUGGAUCCUCUAGAGACUCAAGAUCCCUAAUAUUAGAAGGGAACCCCAAAUAUAUUUUUCAAGAUUGAAUGACACUGAAAAUGACUACACAAAACUGCCUGUUUAAACAGGAAAAUAAAGAAGUUCAAUCUGAAGAAGUGCAGUGGCCUUGAAGAGUAGGGAGUAGACAGGGGGCUCUGAGAAGGAGAAUGAGGGAUUGAACAACCCUGCAUUUUCAAGAAGGAUGGGUAACAGAAGAUGUUAAAAUAAGCAAACAAACUCAUUUCAAUGCCUGAAUGGAGACUGAGAAACAAAUGAGAUUAUUGUAACUUUCUUGGCCCAGGGUGGAGGGGGAAGGGACCCUGCAUGAGAAUGAGGAAAGUAAAUUGCCUGGAGGAGGAAGAAGGCCAUAGAAUUACCUGAUUGUCUUUCUAUCUUAGGCCCAUCUUGUCUCAACCUAACUCUCUUCCUAUAAUAAGGGGAAAUAAAGUAUGAAAGACAAAAAUAAAGGCAGUGAUGUCUAUCAAAGUCAGUCUAGACACCCCAGAAUCUGCAGAGUAGGUCAGGGUGGCUUUCUUUC